UACGAAGGGGGCUAACGUUGUUCGGAAUUACUGGGCGUAAAGCGCACGUAGGCGGAUCGAUCAGUCAGGGGUGAAAUCCCAGGGCUCAACCCUGGAACUGCCUUUGAUACUGUCGAUCUGGAGUAUGGAAGAGGUGAGUGGAAUUCCGAGUGUAGAGGUGAAAUUCGUAGAUAUUCGGAAGAACACCAGUGGCGAAGGCGGCUCACUGGCCCGUUACCGACGCUCAGGCGCGACAGCGUGGGGAGCAAACAGG
rnacentral:rRNA from 1 species